UACAGAGGGUGCGAGCGGUGAUCGGAAUUAGUGGGCGUAAAGCGUGCGUAGACGGUCAUGUAAGUCAGGUGUGAAAUCCCCGGGCUCAACCUGGGAAUUGCAUUGGAGACUGCUUGUCUCGGGUGCGGAAGAGGGAAGCGGAAUUUCCAGUGUAGCGGUGAAAUUCGUAGAUAUCAGAAGGAACAUCAGUGGCGAAAGCGGCUUCCUGGUCCAGUACGGACGUUCAGGAACGAAAGCGUGGGGAGCAAACAGG
rnacentral:rRNA from 1 species